UGUGGUCAAAACCAUUCCUUGACCCUGCAGAACGAACUUUUUUAUUUUUUCCAGGCAGGAGUAAAAGUAAAGAAGUCGUUGCGGUGGAGGAGAAUCCGGAACGGACUGCUGGAGACUGAGCCACUUCCUAGAGCUUUCAUUCAGACAAACAGGGGCUCGGCACAAGUGGUUGAAAAUGCAAGACUGUGGAUCAGAUGACCAUGAAAUGCGGGAGUCUACCCCAUCAAUUCUAUCAAUGACAAGUGCAGAUCCGCAGGCGUGCUGCAGGGGGCGCUGCACUGGGGGGACCAUCGCAUUCUGAUCGGGGGGGGGGGGUUCAUUCAUUUUAUUUUUUAGGUGCUUAUUUGUAUAUUUUUUUAAUUUUUUUUAGCUAUGAGUUUCAUAUCUUUUUUCUGAUUCUCUCUCCUCUCUCUUUUCCCCUCUCCUCUUUAUUUUUCUCUCUGCUUCCUUUCUUUCUCUUUCCCCUCCUCUUUCUCUCCUCUUUCUCUCCCCUCCUCUCUUUUUCUCUGUCUCUCCCUUUCUCCUCUCUCUCGCUUUCUCUCUGCCUCUUUCUCUCCCUCGCCUCUCUCUCUGUCUCUGUCUGUGUCUCGCUCUCUCUCUCUCUCUCUCUCUCUGGUUUCUAGUGCUGAGAGAGAGGAGGUGUUUUCUUUUUAGCUUCUAUUUGCCUUAAAAAUGUUUUUAAAAUGUUUCGUUGUUUUGUUGUUUGAUUCUCCAGCCAUAUUCCUAACUGUCUGACCCGCUGGCUUCCAGCUGCGUGUCUGCAGUCAGUAUUGCAACAAGACUGUUUUCUGAAUCCUUGAUUUUAAUUUUUUUACCGAAUGAAAUUAAACUGGUAAAAUGUAUUUAAAACCAAUAAUGUAAUAUAACUUGAGGAAAAUAUUUUGUAGCCCUGAAUCCUCUCGUCCUGUUUUCUGUAAGUACGUUUCUAUGGCAUCACUGGAAUGUGUAUUUCAUGAGUAAUCGUGACGGGUUCUGUUCGGACUCGGGGAGGGGGGGAGGACAGAAUAUAUAUAUAUAUAUGUAUGGAUUGUGUAAAUACAGAGAUCGCUGACCCUGCUUGUGCAACACAUUUGUAUUUGCAGGUACAGGAAUAAAAUAGUUUAUCAGGAA